GUGAACCUCUCGAUGUUACAGUAAUUAUUUUUCGAACCGAAAACGUAACAAAAUUAGGAAAAUAUAUUUCUUCGACUUAAUUAAUAACUUUGCACCUGAAAUGUUGAUUUGUUGUUUAUAAAAUACUACGACCGUCUGUUACAUGUGAUAGAACUGAAAUUAAUUGGUAAAGUGAUAAUAAAACAGCGUAAUUAAUUAGUAGAAUGUGAGGAGUCCGAUUGAAGAAUUCCACAUUAAUAUAUGUUAUCCUGUUGUUUAUGAGGCAUUGAUAAAACGAAUAUCACAUCAUGUUGACAUAAAAGGAAUUACUUCGUUCAGAUGUGCCUUUGAUAUUUUUAUCAACUUUCAUCAACUAAAGGAAGACGAUAUAUUUAUAAGGAGCAUUCAUCUAUACAUCAACGUUUCUAUAUAAAUAUAAUCUAU